rnacentral:rRNA from 1 species
GACGAACGCUGGCGGCGUGCUUAACACAUGCAAGUCGAACGGAAAGGCCCUGCUUUUGUGGGGUGCUCGAGUGGCGAACGGGUGAGUAACACGUGAGUAACCUGCCCUUGACUUUGGGAUAACUUCGGGAAACUGGGGCUAAUACCGGAUAGGAGCUUCGGCUGCAUGGCGGGGGGUGGAAAGUUUCGGUGGUUGGGGAUGGACUCGCGGCUUAUCAGGUUGUUGGUGGGGUAGUGGCUUACCAAGGCUUUGACGGGUAGCCGGCCUGGGGGGGUGACCGGCCAAAUUGGGACUGGGAUCCGGCCCAGACUCCUACGGGGGGCGGCGGUGGGGAAUAUUGCACAAUGGGCGGAAGCCUGAUGCAGGAACGCCGGGUGCGGGAUGACGGCCUUCGGGUUGUAAACCGCUUUCGCCUGUGACGAAGCGUGAGUGACGGUAAUGGGUAAAGAAGCACCGGCUAACUACGUG